CUUGGAGAUAGCUGGUUCUCUCCGAAAUAGCUUUAGGGCUAGCCUCAAGUGAUGAUUAUUGGAGGUAGAGCACUGUUUGGACGAGGGGCCCCUCUCGGGUUACCGAAUUCAGACAAACUCCGAAUGCCAAUUAAUUUAACUUGGGAGUCAGAACAUGGGUGAUAAGGUCCGUGUUCGAAAGGGAAACAGCCCAGACCACCAGCUAAGGUCCCAAAAUAUAUGUUAAGUGGAAAAGGAUGUGGCGUUGCCCAGACAACUAGGAUGUUGGCUUAGAAGCAGCCAUCAUUUAAAGAGUGCGUAAUAGCUCACUAGUCGAGUGACACUGCGCCGAAAAUGUACCGGGGCUAAACAUAUUACCGAAGCUGUGGAUUGUCCUUUGGACAAUGGUAGGAGAGCGUUCUAAGGGCGUCGAAGCAUGAUCGCAAGGACAUGUGGAGCGCUUAGAAGUGAGAAUGCCGGUGUGAGUAGCGAAAGACGGGUGAGAAUCCCGUCCACCGAUUGACUAAGGUUUCCAGAGGAAGGCUCGUCCGCUCUGGGUUAGUCGGGUCCUAAGCUGAGGCCGACAGGCGUAGGCGAUGGAUAACAGGUUGAUAUUCCUGUACCACCUAGUAUCGUUUUAAUCGAUGGGGGGACGCAGUAGGAUAGGCGAAGCGUGCUGUUGGAGUGCACGUCCAAGCAGUAAGGCUGAGUGUUAGGCAAAUCCGGCACUCAUAAGGCUGAGCUGUGAUGGGGAGAGGAAAUUGUUUCCUCGAGUCGUUGAUUUCACACUGCCGAGAAAAGCCUCUAGAUAGAUAACAGGUGCCCGUACCGCAAACCGACACAGGUAGUCAAGAUGAGAAUUCUAAGGUGAGCGAGCGAACUCUCGUUAAGGAACUCGGCAAAAUGACCCCGUAACUUCGGGAGAAGGGGUGCUCUUUAGGGUUCACGCCCAGAAGAGCCGCAGUGAAUAGGCCCAAGCGACUGUUUAUCAAAAACACAGGUCUCUGCUAAACCGUAAGGUGAUGUAUAGGGGCUGACGCCUGCCCGGUGCUGGAAGGUUAAGAGGAGUGGUUAGCUUCUGCGAAGCUACGAAUCGAAGCCCCAGUAAACGGCGGCCGUAACUAUAACGGUCCUAAGGUAGCGAAAUUCC
rnacentral:rRNA from 1 species